GAAGAAGAUCCUGCAGACUUUGGAUACACAUGGAAAGGUUAUCAAGGAUCUGGGCAAGCAAGUGAAGAAGAUGAAGAAGACUCAUGCCUUAAAGGAGUCAGUGGAGCUGCUGAAAAAAGAGGUGGAGAGGUAUACAUCGGCUGGAGACAUCCCACUAAACUUGCUCAUGGAGGAGCAAGCCCCAGUAGCACAGGCAGCAGAGCAUGAGGCACCAGCAGCUGGCUAGUCUAAGGAGUCGGCUGCCACUACACAUAAUGCUGAGGAGAUAAUCCAGAUGCUCCGCAACCCCGUGGUCCCCCAGUCAGAGGAUUUGGAGAUCCAGUUAGAGGACCCGAAAGGAGCUACUGAUCCUAUGCAGUCCGAGGACCCCACUCAUGUGCCUGACCCGAUGCAGACAGAGACCACAUAUGGAGUUUUUCUUUACUCUCUAAUCCUUUCCCCGAUCCUAUUUUUAUAUUAGCAUUAAGGACAAUGUUGUUUUUUAAUAGGGGGUGGUCCAUUUUGAUUUGAUGAUUUGAUGACAUUGGCAUGUAAUAACUAUGAUACUAUUUUUCUUUAUCUUUACUUCUUUUUAUUUUUACUUUUGGUAUGUACAUAUUUGUUAUUUGAUGUAUAUAUUCAUUUUUAUUUAUGUAUAUAUUCGCUUUACUUCAAGUUUGUAUAUAUUCAGUUUGAUUUUUGUAGUUUACUUCAUAGCUUCUUAUUUCCUUUAGUAGUUUCUUUUUAAGUUGUUAGCUUCUUUUUAUGUUUUAUGUGAACAAUAAGCCUUUGGUUUUCUUAAUGCCACGGUUCUUUCCAAAGGUAGAUGUUGUGUGAACCGGGUGGCUCUUCUCGAUGAUGGAUGGCAUGACAACCUUCUUAAGGGAUUGAGCCCGUUCUUCUUUUUGCUUUGAUAUGUAGUAGUAAUGAAUAAAAGUUUCUCAAGCAUGCUUCACUUGGGCCUAACACAUUUACCUUCAACCUUAUGGUAAGAAACAAGUUGAUUGGCAACGAAUAGUUCUAGUGUGACCUUUAGGCUCUUGUGUUGACUAAAACAAUCAUCGAGUGGUUUAUUUGAGCCAUUUGUGAUGUUCAAUAUUAGCUAGGGUUGUUCUGGGCCCUUGACUCUGCCUCUUUAACAAUCUAGCAGCUUGAGAGGUGAGGUAUUGAAUUGCAAGUGCAAGUUCUGUGCCAACAAGUCUAGAACUUGCCCUGAAUGUUUGUCUUGGCGAAAUUCUAAGUGUAGCUCGACUUGAGAAAUGAUUGUAGGCUCUCCUUGAUCCAAAUUUGAAACUUGAAAGCUUCCGUAGCCUACCAAUAUGAUAUCCCUAGUCAACCCCUUUUGAGCCGAAGCCUUUUUUCUUUUAAUAACCAUGUUACAAGCCUUUAUCCGUUUUGUGAUGACCCUCUCUUAGCACUCGAUCUUUCCUUGGCACUAAUGACAUACAAGUAGCUAAAGCACAAGUUUGGGGGAGAGAUGAGGAAUGUGAAAGUGAUAAAAGGUACAAAUAACAAAAAGAAAUGAAGAAAAUGGAAGGCAAAGGAAUAGAAAGAAAAGCCAAAAAGAAAUAUGUCAAAAAGAAAGUGAAUAAGAUAGAAAAUUGAGGGAACUCAAAGAAAGCAAUGAUGAAAGACAUGGAAUGAUUAGAAAAGGAGAAAAAUGAGCGUCAUGAGCAAGAAAGAGUGACAGUGUGUCUCUCUAGUUUCCCUAAGGAUGAAGAAAAUGACUCAAAGAGUCAAGAAAGUAUGAGCCGAAAUGAGAAAAUGGAGUGCUUAAGGAAAGAUGAAACCAUUAUAUGCCAAUAAGUCCUCCCUUGAUCCAAAUAGCCUUCAUUACAUUCCCACAAAAGCCCUAUAUGAUUCCGAGUUGAGUGAGCUUACAUUAGUGGUGAUUUACAUAAGGGCAAGCUUAUGGUACUUAGAGACAGACUUGUGACAUUCCCUUGAGAGAGAUGAGCGUACUUCUCCACAAUCUUUGUUUUGAGUGCUACAAUCUAAAGUGAGAUUUGCUUAUGGAGAGUAGAGGAGGAAGUAUUUGGGUUCCACAAUGAUCUACGUAAUGGAGCGAGCUGCCUUGGUAAAUUAAGUCAACUCUUGAUGCUCUAAUGUCGCAUUAGAACUAUGGUACUCAAAAGGCUUUGUGUUGUUGAUAAUUCAAUUCUAUUGAGGGUAAUUGUUAGUCCCAAUUGAUGCAUGAUUGAUUCGCAUUAGGACAGCUGAAAUAUCCUUCUGUUUUGUUUUAGUGGAGGUGAGAAUUACCUUAUUUGCUUGAGGAUAAGCAAACACUUAAGUUUAGGGGAGUUGAUAAGUGGGGAUUUUAACCUAUUAUUUGCAAAAAUUGAUCGGCUCCAAGCCUUUAGUACUAUUGAGUAGAGAGGAAGGUCGAUGUAGUUUUACCCAACUAGGUUGGGAUCGAAUCCACAUGGAGUUAAUUUUUUUGGAAUUAGAUUUAUAUCCAAGUCUAGAAGCGGGUUUUGCUCUUAAUUACCCUUCCACAAGUGGUUGGUUUGUUUUCUACUUCUACUUCUAUUCUAUAGCAUGCAAUAUUUGAAACUAAGUAUAAUAUUUUCGUUGUUGAUUUUCAAGGGUUUUAAAGGGACUAGGGUAGUGACUUCCACCUAAGUGGAUAUCUAACGGGUAGCAAGAAUCUAGGGAAAUUAUAUGAUUAAUUGGGGUUGUAAUAUAGCUAUCACACCCGGGUACUCACUCUAUACCUCUCGGUAGUUUGAGUGAUUUUGCGCAAUUUGGCUUUCUCAAGUCCAAAUGGAUUUUCAUGCAAUUCAAGUGAUUUUAGCUCAAGUCGGGUAUUACUAUCUCUAGGCUUAACCCUUUAAUCGGGGCUAUCAAUUUCUUGAGUUCACCCCAAUUCCUUGUUAACCAAGUUUUCCUAGACUUAGUCUCUCUUUCUCAAGUAGAGUCUAAGUCAUAAAGGCAUAAAUCAGUGUUUGCAAUCACUAAUUAAUAGUUCUAGCAUGAACUAGGCUAAAUAUCACUAACCCAUAUAUAUUCAAGCCCUAAAAUUCAAAACUCAUCAAAAACCCAUAGCUAGGGUUGGGUCCAAGGCAGAACAUGGCGAAUGUCUCUUAAUAUACUUGGUUGUAUCCGACGUCGCAGUAAGCGCAGUCUUGGUCCGUAAAAAUAAAGGUACGCAAUCUCCAAUCUAUUACAUCAGGAAAAUCCUGGUCGAUGCCGAAACGAGGUAUCCCCACCUCGAAAAACUGGCUCUGGCAUUAGUUGUAGCUUUACGAAAGCUUCGACUCUAUUUUCAAUGCCACCCCAUCUCGGUGGUCACGACCUUCCCUCUAAGAAGCAUUCUACAUAAACCCGAGCUGUCGGAUAGAUUGGUCAAGUGGGCCAUCGAAUGAAGCGAGCACGAUAUAAUAGAUCAGCCGUAAACAUCGAUAAAGCCGCAAGUACUCGGCUACUUCAUCACCUACUUCAGUGCCAAAAUAAUGCCUGAGGUCGAGCGGGAAGCCUCCCGUACCUCCCUCAAGUUAUCCGACCUAUGGGUCUUGUACACCGAUGGUGCCUCCAACGUGUCAGGAUCUGGACUGGGACUAAUGCUCGAGGUCCCACCAGGCGAAGUCAUCCGCCAGUCCAUAAGAUAUCCCAACAUGACUAAAAAAGAGGCCGAGUAUGAGGCCGUAAUUGCAGGACUAAAAUUAGCUCUCAAGUAUAGAGCAUGGCGAGUCAUCCUCCAAUAUGACUCAUAACUCGUCGUCAACCAAGUCACAGGGACUUUCCAAAUCAAAGAACAAAGGCUACAAAAAUAACAGGCAAAAAUUCAUAAGCUACUGCUAGAGUUCGACGAAUGCCAACUCGACCAGAUACCUCGAUCACAAAACAUCGAAGCAGACGGCCUCGCCAAAUUAGCAGCGGCCACCAAGAACAUAAGCAGAAAAGAAAAUGUGGUCACCCUCAUUCGUUCGUCAAUAGACCAAAUUGAGGUACACAUUAUAAACUUGACUUGGGACCGGUGCAACUAUAUUAUAUCAUAUUUGCAGGACGAAGUGCUCCCACAGAACAAAAAAGAAGCCAAGAAGCUUCGAAUACAGGUGGUCAAAUACAGAAUCAUCUACCAUGACUUGUACAAAAGAACGUUUGGCGAUCCCUUGGCGAAAUGCCUAGGACCAAACCAAACUAGACGCGUCCUCGAAGAAGUACAUGAAGGCCACUGUGGAGCCCAUACCGGUAAUCGAGCCCUCGUUAGAUGCCUCAUACGGGCAGGCUAUUACUGGCCCACCAUGAAAAGGGAAGCCGCCGACUUUGUUAGAAAGUGCAAACAAUGCCAAAAAUACGCUCCAAUGAUCCACCAGGUGGCGAGCACCUCCACUCAAUCACAUCGCCUUGACCGUUCAUCAAAUGGGGGAUGGACAUCGCCGGACCCCCUCCAGCAUGAUGAGGUAAUGUACGAUUUCUCUUUGUUUUAACUGACUAUUUUUUCAAGUGGGUAGAAGCAGGUGCAUUCGCCCAAAUACGCGAAUAGGAAGUUAUCACAUUCAUAUGGAGAAACAUCAUAUGUCGUUUCGGCAUCCCCAAAGAAAUCAGUUGGGACAACGGACCGCAAUUCACCAAAAUAAAGACCGCUGAAUUCUUCGAGAAAUGGCACAUCAAGUGAAUACUCUCCACGCCAUAUCAUCCCGCAGGCAACGAUCAGGCGGAGUCCUCUAACAAAACAAUACUGAACAUCAUGAAGAAGAAGCUUGAGGACGCCAAGGGGCAGUGGCCAGAAAUGCUACUGGAAGUGCUAUGGGCAUACCGCACCAUGCUAAAAUCAAGUAUAGGAGAAAUGCCAUAUUCACUAGUCUAUGGGACUAACGCAGUGAUACCAGUCGAAGUCGGGGAACUCAGUUUGAGAUAAUCCAACAAGGGCAGACCAAGUAAUGAUGAAAGCAGAAAGCAAAACCUCGACGAAACAGAUGAGCGAAGAGACAUGGCCCUCGUAAGAAUGAUAGCUCAAAAACAGCAAGCAAAAUAGUACUACAACAAAAAAAAUAAAGUUAGACCACUCAAGGUAGGGUACUAUGUACUCGAACCCAAAAUACAAGCGAGCAAAGACCCACGAAAGGAAAACUGGGAACCAAUUGGGGCGGACCAUAAAAAAUCACGGCAACAGCAAACAAAGGGUCAUUCCAACAUGAAAUAAUGGAGGGAAAACUACUACCAAACAAUUGGAACGUCGCCACCUCAAAUACUUCAACAUCUGAAAACGAAUGUCCUCCGAGUCAUACUCUUUUUCCCUCACCCGAGUUUUGUCCCAAUUGGGUUUUCUCGGGGAGGUUUUUAAUGAGCCGAUGAAGAGGGAGUCUCGAAGUUUAGGUAUUAAUUUCAUCGCCCUGCCUAUCGACUACUUCUCUAGGCCGAGCUAUGAAGGGACUAGGUAGGCUGGGACUCCUUGAAUGUAUGUACAGUCCAAAUAGAAACAUGUAAUAUUCUCAAAUGAAAUAAACAAAGCAGUAUAUGACAUUCUUACACAACUCCACCAAAUUUAAACAUCAUGCCAAUGAAAAUGAAAUGUACAUUCGACCUCGCUCGAAUUAACUUACAUUCGACCUCAUUCAAAUUAACAAAGGAAAUGUACUUUCGAUCUCGCUCGAAUGAUUUUCUAAGCCUACAUUCGACCUCGCUCGAAUUAGUUUACAUUCGACCUCGUUCGAAUUAACAAAGGAAAUGUACAUUCGAUCUCACUCGAAUUAUUUUCUAAGUCUACAUUCAACCUCAUUCGAAUCAAUCUACAUUCUACCUCACUCGAAUUAACUUACAUUCGACGUCGUUCGAAUAAAUAUACAUUCGACCUCGCUCAAAUUAACAUACAUUCGACCUCGUUCGAAUCAAUCUACAUUUGACCUCGCACGAAUUAACUUACAUUUGACCUCGUCUGAAUCGAUCUACAUUCGACUUCAUUCGAACCAACUUACAUUGGGGACUUUCUUACAAAAGAAGACUCACGGGAAAGAAAAAAGAAAGAAAAGCCAAAAAUACACAGCAAAAGACAAUUGUUCCAUGUCAAUCAUUUCAUUCCAAUACAUUUUACAAAGGGCUUGAAAGACGCCCCCACAAAAAGAAAACAGCAUAACACAAAAAAUAAAAACCAAGUACAAAGACUUCACGCCGCAUCGUCCCCCCAUCACCGAUGUCAUUGGCAUAUUCAUUGAUGUACCAAGGGUCAGAGGCAAGCCCAUCUAAGGCGCCUUCAUCAUCGUCCCCGCUGGGCAUACUUGGAUCAUAACCAUAUGUGUCACGAGCUACACGUGCCUUGACACGAACAUCCUCAAAUUCUGCCUCGAAAAUCUUUCCAGCCGUCUUUAGAGACCUGUAUAUGUCAAGUUGGGCCUCAGCAUGAACCCACACUUCAUACAACUCCCGUGACACACCGGGAUCAGUAGAAGUAUGAGAAGUAGACGGCUAGGCCAGUUGUUACGCCUUCUCGGCUCUUAGGGCGGCAACCUGCUCAUUCAGCUCAAACAGCUCCGCCUCCAAACCCCCAAUCUGCUCUUCAAACCUUUCCUCCUUGAGCACCGAAUUUUCCGCCUCAGUAGCUCGCUCAGACCUGCAAACACGGAGGGUUCCCCCUAGGGUUGCCGCCUCCGCCACAGCGGCCAUUCUGGCUUUCUCAGCUUGGCCCAACUCUUCGAUCCUGGUACUCAACUCACCCCUCAAGUUGACAUAUCUUGUUUUGCUCUGCUCUAGCUCGACCCUUAAAGACGCCACAUGCGCCUGAAGGUCAGUAUUCUCAACCAUCACUCUCUUGCUCACCUCGAGCUCAUCCUCCUUAGCCCUCAGCGCCCCCUCAAGAACGCUACAUCUGGCGUUGGCCCUCAUAAGCUCCCCGUCCUUCUCCCUCAGCUCCUCAUCCAUCUGCUUGAGCCUAUCACGAAGCAUCUGAAACUGAUCGUCCUUGCUAAGUAAGUUGACUAACAUUUGGUGCUUAGAACGGUACUCUCUGUACUUGGAUACCAUCUUCUUGAAGAGGGUCGUCCUUCGCUCUUCCCGCCAAUCACGCUCAAUCUCCAUGAUGAGGGUUUAACACGCAAAAGAAGACAGGUCAGCAGAAGUAAACUACACAUACGAAAUGAACUAACUUAACAUGGGAAAAUCAAGCUUACUCGCAAGGCCAUACCAGAUAUACCCAAUGAUAGAUCUGCAUCCUUUAGCGUCUGCAGCAUCCUAUUCUCACAGUCCGCACACAGAGGAGCGAAGGCUGGCACUACCCGUUCCGAGUUAGCUAAGAGGUUAUAAUCUAUGAGGAUGACUAUGUGCCGAUCAGGUCUCUCCAUCUUUAUCUCCACUUGGGUGAACCUCUACCCAGAAGCCUGCAUCUCCUCAGGGUUAAUAUCAGAGCCCGACCCAUCAUCUUCUACGAGGACGGUUCUAUCCCUCCUGUUCGCUGAUGAUGAUCCGACCCAGGUUGUUCGUGCAGGCUCCCCUCUAUCGUAGGUCCCAUCAACCUCUGACGGCCUUUCCUCUAUGACUAUAGCCAGCGUGGAAGCAGCCUCAAUGCCGAGUAAGGGCGUCGCCUCCACAUCCAAAACAAUGAGCAUUUUCGGCUCGGCAUCAACAGCACUGACCCUUCCGGUCUCUACCCUCUGACUUUUCCUCGGUACCGCCUAUUCCUCAUCAUGAGACGAAUCGUCAAUUAGUUGCAAGAUAGGGUGAUCAGAGGUCUCAACCGACAUAACGGAUCGCGCUACGGCAGAGCUAGAGUUUGACCCUUUUGUACGGACUCAACCAGUACAAAUUGUAUUCCAACCACAGUGACAACCUGACGUAAUGCAGGCACCAAAGCCUUUGCCUUCUUGGAAGCUCGCCGACCUGGCAAAAAACGAAAAUCAUGUUAAAAAAAUGAAAAGACGGUGAUAAGAUAUAAUGAAGAUGAAAGGGUCGUGGAAGUGAGAAUCAGACUUACUAGUCGAAGGCUUAGGCCUGAACCGCUUGUUAAAGGAUGCCCAGUAGCGAAUUUCCACAGUAUGGGGUAAGACGCGAGUUACCUAAUCUUCAAUGUCAAGAACCAGGAAAGGUGGACGCCUAACAGCUGAAAGUAGAAAGAUAUGAGCAAGUCAGAAAUAAAAAAGAUGGGGGAUAACAAAAUAUAUAUAACAGACGGUAAAAGACCCUUGCUGUUGAAGUUCCACUGCUUGGGAAAUCCAGCUGGGUCCACCAUGGUCCUAACGAAGAAGUAACUGCAUCAGAAUCGGCGGUUCUCUUUGUCAUCCAUCCUUGUCACCAAUCCUUUAGUUCCAUGGUGGCGGAGAUGAAUCAGCGUGCCUCUAUAGAAACUAGGUGAGAAGAGAUGUAGUAGAUGACGGAUGGAGACUUCAAAGCCGGUCAACUCUACGAACUUCACCAACAUCAAAAAAUACUUUAUAUAAGUAGGGGGAAAGCUGUGUCGUGCAGACGCCAUAAAAGUAGCAGCACUCCUCAGCUAGUGGGGGAAUAGGAAGAGAGUAACCCACCAAAAAUGGGUAGGCAUAGAAAGCGCAAUAUCCAGGUUGGUGGACUUGUACCACUUCAUUACCCGCCGGAACAAUAUCGAUGUGAGCAAGGAUACGAAAUUUAGAUCGGAGAGCGGAUAUUUGUUUCGACCCCAUAUUUGAUAGUACCUGCUUAAGAGCAGGGGCGUGAUCUUUUGAGAAGUCAUUUCUGACCGACGGGUUUCGGGGAACAACCUCCUCCACGGUGGAAAAACUUUCGUCUUCCACAAUCGUGGGCUCACCGCCACCAGAAGGCAUGGCCACCGACAAUGGUGUGGCAUCGGAGAUUAUGUCAAAAGUGUGAUGGGAGUUUGUCAUUUCUGCAGUAACAUGUAUAGAGUAGAGUCAGAAGGAGAGUACAAUGGGAAAAGAAACCAGAAGAAAACAACAACAACAACAACAACCUAGUAUAAUCCCACAAGUGGGGAAAAGAAAUCAGAAGCUAGAUCUAAUAAAAGAAGGAAAUCAGAGAUAAGGGUUAAGAAGAAGCAUAAGAACAAGCAAAGUGCAAAUGGAAUAUGAAGUGCGAAAAGUUUCAUUUGUGAAUCCUCGUUCCUCUAUUAAUAGGAUAUUGUGGCGCCCAAAUCGAUGCAAGAAAUGUCAUUGACACCAAAAUCAAAGCAAUAGAGGCACUAGAAACAAUGCAUUGCACCGGGAAGAUGCGUAAUGAUGAUGCGCGUGGCCAUGAUAUCAUCCUUAUGUCAGCCACGCCAACCACAACCUUUGAUCUGAUCCGUCAUCAAUUCGACAUCGACCAAUUCAGUUCAUUCACCUCGGCGGAAUUUCUUGUGAUUAGAUGUAGAUAAAAUCUGCUUAUCGAGGAAUCCCAAGAGGACAACCCCAAUAAGUGGAGGGACUAACUGUAUGGGUCAAAAUUAGGUCGAGUUUAGUGAGUGCAACGGAUAAGCUUAGGCCGAGGUCGAAGCCAAGCACGGCCCAUUGGCGAGGAGUCUCCCAGAGAGAGAGAGAGACCAGCGCCAAGGUCGAGUAGAGAACAAACAUCAGCAAUGGAUAGAAUAUUCUUAGGAUUAUGAAUAGGAAUAUUCCAUUGAAUAUUCCCCCAAUUGUACUUUUUUAGGGUUUUCUAGAGAUAUCCCUUAUAAAUAGGAAGAGAUAGGGAACAAAAAGAGGCUUCUGGACUUUUUUGAGAGGAACAUCUUGUAAAAGGUUGACUAUCAAGAAUAUAUAAAAAAAACUUGUCUUGUCUCCUCUAUUUGAUUCUAUUGCUAGACAUUCCUCUUUUAUUCAGAAGAUCCAAGAACACUUUAUUCAUUUCCAUAGUCAGUUGUCACACACUAUAGUUAGAAGAAGGAAUCAUCCAACUCAUUCAACAUUUGGGUGACAAAUUUCUUCUUACUACAUCUAAUGCCAUUUGUCACAUUUAUUGCAUGUUUUCAUUCUCAUAUUUAUUGAUAAUCAUUGAGCAUUAACUUGGCAUUCAUUGAUUUGAACACGGUCUCGUACAAUCAAAAUUAUCGAACUUUAAAUUUAGGAUUUAUUAUAUUUAACUAGGAUUCACCCUUUAUCUACUUAUUAAAUUGGUUUAACAAAAAGGGCCUAAAACUUUUUGGUCAAACAAUAUUGUUACGCCCCGCAAUAUAACGUCGAUAUUACGUCCUGUAGUAUUAUAUUACGAUGAUGUUAUGUCCUGCAGUAUUAUAUUACGGUAAUGUUAUGCCUUGCAAUAUAACAUUACGAUGAUGUUAUGCUUUGCAGUAUUACAUUACGAUGAUGUUGCACCCUGAAGUAUUGUACGUUGAAUUUAUCGUAAGGUAAUUGACAUCAGUCCAAGAAAAAGAUUAUUUGGAGAUUAUAAGGAUUAUGCUAUUUCAAAUGAGUGAUGGGUAAAUUCAUGAAGGUGAGAAGGUAAGCAUAUCGAAGAAAAUGAAUUUCAUCGAAGUGUAACAUUUUGGGAUAAAAUAUGGCCCGAGCUAAAAUACCCGGUAUUUAUGGACUACUACCAUACAAGGUACCACAUGGCCGUGAUAGUAAGGUGUAUAAGGUAUGUUAAAAGUGGGUGGUAUUUUAAGUGAUUUGAGAUAAUUUUUAAUUAUGUGGAUAAUUGGUUAAUUAUUGGUUAAUGAGAGAUAAACAAGUUAAUCAAGUAAUUAGUGGAUAAUUAAUUCAAAUAUUUGGAUAACAAUUACAUCUCCCACAUGGCAGCAAACUCAUCAAAGAAUUGUGACUCAUAAGUCACUAUGUUAUGUGGCAAGUCUUAAGAAUGUGUGGCAUUUCCAUUUAAUAAAGGAAAGACACAUAUAACAUGAGUCAUAUCUGUUCUAUUCUUAAAGAAAGUUCUUACAUAUCCAUUCUUAAUGAAUGGUCUUAUAUCAGAAUAUUAGUGAGUGGAUAUUCAUGCAAGAAUUCAAGAAUUUAAGGAUUCAAGCAAGAAAAUUCCUUAUGCAUCUUAGCAAUGUUACUCUAAAGAAGCCCGGUAUAAUCUUUCUCGAGAAUAUUAUAUGGAUUUUUCCACUACUUCAAUUCGCCGUUACGCAUUGUCGCAAUCAACGAUGUUAAAGGGAUUAUCAAGAGAAUUAUUUCAGGUAUGUUAAGGCUAUUCCUUCUUUCCUUUUGGCAUGAUCCAUACGAUACAAAAUAAAACGAGAAAAUACACAACUUCCAUAAAUAACUCUAUUCAUAGAAGUAUUAGAAGUGCCUAUGUUCUUGAAUUCCCGUGUAUCUUGUCAUUCUAUCAUCUUUUCAUGAGUCUUAGAAAAAUAGUUGAAAAAAAAGUUUACUUCAUGAUAUUACUCAAAGGUAUAAUGGUCUUAUGACAUUCCAAGAGAUUUUAUUGACGUACUUCUCAUGCAUUGCAUUCAUGUACAUUGAACUAUGGCCAGAUGGCAUUAUAUACGUGUAUAUAUGUAUAUUAUAUAUAUGGGAUAUGGGAAAAGGUUACGGCAUUAUAUACGCACCACUACCUGAUCAGCUGGUAUACAUUGAUGAUUUGCCCACAGUGGCCGAGAUGAUAUGAUGGGAUUCCCUCAAGGGCUUGAAGAUAUUAUGAACACAUUUACCUAUACAUGACAUGAAAAUCAUACACAUAUGCAUGACACUAUAAUUAUUUCAUGAUUUACAGAGUUAUCUAGACUUAUAGGUUGAGUCAUUUACUCUAUAUUUCUUCCAUGUCUUUUAUGUACUUAUUUAUGUGCCUUACAUACUCGGUACAUUAUUCGUACUGAUGUCCCUUUUACUUGGGGACGCUGCAUUUCAUGCCCACAUGUCCCGAUAGACAGGUCGAGAGUCCUCCAGGUAGGCUAUCAGCUCAACGGAAGAUGUUGAUGCACGCCAUUUGCUCCAGAGUUGCUUGUUUGGUCAGUAUGAUUUAGACGUGUAUUGUUUGGUAUGGUGGGUCCUGACCCAACAUUUAUGAUAAGUAUGUACUCUUAGAGGCUUGUAGACGGAUGUCAUGUAUUCAGAUGCUUGUAUGGCCUUUUUGGCCUAUGUUUUGAAUUUACAAAUGAGCAUGUUGGCUUUAUAGGCCCGUAUUCACAUGUAUAAGUUUUUAUAUCAGGUUGGGUCGUCCUGUAUUGAGUAUUACAAUAUGUUUAUUCUGGCUAGCCCAUGACGGCCCAUUUGGAUCAUUUUCCAAUGAUAGUACAUUGAGAGAGAUGUCUAACAUUGGUACUCGGUUGAUUAAGGCACCGGGUGCCCAUCAUGGCCCAUCGUUUGAGUCGUGACAACGUUGGUAAUUAGUUGAGUAAGGCACCGGGUGCCUGUCGUGGCCUAUCGUUUGGGUCGUGACAAAAGUGGUAUCAAAGUAGUUCUGUCCUAGGGAGUCUACAAGUCAUGUCUAGUAGAGUCUUGUUUAUGGGUAUGUCGUGCAUCACACUUAUAAGCAGGAGGCUACAGGGCAUUUAGGACUGUCACUCUUUCUUCUUACUCUAGAUCGUGUGGUAGAGCUCGGUUGUAAGAACUCAAUUUCCUGAAUUUUAUCUUAUUCAUAAUAUGACGAUGCCUACAUCUAGAAAGACGUUUGGUAAGGGAUUUAAUGUGGAUGUGGAAGAAUUGAGUCAGAGGAACUCGAUUUUGCAUCAUGCUUGUGAUGAAUGUAAGGUCUCUAGCAGAACAUAAGGAUACUAAGACAUGCAAGCUUCUUGAUAAGGAUCUCUAUGGCAAUAAUGCCUAUCCACUUUUACGAUAACAAGGGAAAAGAGAAUCAGAAAGUAGACAUAAGUUCCAGCAAAUAACAAAAGCAAGGUGAAAAAGGGUACGAGGUACCCAGUUAAUAAAGAUUAUCGGUAUUUUCAAUUCAGGCAGAGGAAUAUAAGCCUUUUGAGUUACCUUCAACAGUAUCAGAGGUAUGUACAAUUUGCGACAUCGAUCUUAGUUAUGCCCUAUCAUAGAUAACAUAUAUAGUAUAAGAUAAAAAUGGGAUAUCAGGAUCCGGCUGAGGUUAGAGUGACCCAAAAUGGUGGAUGGAUUGUUUGCAUUAGUUGACAUUUCCUAAGCAUAUUGCAAAUGUGCUAAUAGAUCUCUUUGUGAGGCACCUAGAUGGUGCGUUCUAAAAUAGUACAGCUAAAUAUGAGUACUACAAAGAUAGGCACUGGAAGCCUUGAAGGGAUUAAUAUUACCUCAUUGUGGCUCCCAUCCCUAGUAGAGAAAGAAUGUUAGGCAACCCGAAGAGCCAGUAGAUGGAGCAAAGGGGAGCUAAAAGCAAAAAAAUAUCUUGUUGAAGUUUUCAGAAUAAGGUGAUAGACAGAAAUAUUAGCAGGGAGAUAAGAAGAGAGAUAAUGAAGCAUUAUGAGUAAGAUAUAAUACAUGGAUGACAACGGUAGAUAAAAAAAUAACAGUAUUACAGAGUCUUUAGUCAAGUGAAGGAAAAGACAAGAGGUGACAACCCUUGAGACAACAAAAGCGUAUAGGCCAUAAAGUCACAUCCUCAUUUCGAGAAAUAAGUUUGUGACUCCAACGCGACUACCAUAAGGAAAAGUUAGACCUAGAGUUAUGGAAAUCAGUGAGGGCUACUGAACAAGAUAAACUAAACAUGAGUUAGGGACUGAGUGAUUUGAUAAUAGUCGGCAUCUGAGAAUUUCAGGGAUUGCAUUCCGGCGAUAAUAGAAUGGACGACAGAAGAAUAACCUUUAAAGGUCAUUCAGGAGGACGCUUUACUAAAGAAAUAAAUAUGAGUAAAGUUAAGCUUAAGGGAAUAUAUGUGUCAGUUACACUAAGUGUUACCAUCGCGAGUAAGGAAUUUUGUUAUCCUUGGUACAGAAGGAUUACCGUAAGGCGAGUAAGGGUCAUCGAUGAUGUGAAAGGACACCAAAGAUGAAGAGGUAAAACAUCUAUAGGUAGGUCGUCGUAGCUCCAACUAUUAGUACUCCCCUAAAGGGGGAAAUAUGGAGUGAUAUGGCAUUAAGUCAGAAUUAAGUAGUUCUAGUAGCUAUGGAAUGGUAAAGGAAGAAUGUAAUAAAAAUAAAAAAGAGAUGAGAUUGCACUUGUUCAAAUCCUACCAGCAUGCUACAAUUCCAGAACAUUACGCAAACAUGACAUCAAGAAGAGGAAGUAAGGGUUCCUGCCUGAGAUGUUAUUGAUAGAUAAGGAGCCAGUGCGAGACGAAAGUGGAGAUAAAGGAAAUAACCCAAGAAACAUUAUGUGGAAUAUUGCUAUGAGAAGGGGCCAACGAGUAGUUAUUAAUUGAUUCAGGAAGGACCUAGUUAUGGCUAGACAAGAGGUUACAGACAAAUCAACAGAUCAUGCAAUAUAGACAUAGUGAACCCAACAUGGGGAAUUCAGUCUCGUAUAUAUGACAUCGUGAUCCUUGAGAAAUAUUCAGAUAGGAGUUAGGGUAGUUAAGGUACCAUAUGUAUUACGGAAAUAAAAGAGAAUGCCACUGGGAAGGUAGUCAAAAUAUCAGUUCAGAAGCAACCUUACAAGCACAAGGGCGUAGAGGUAAGUAAGUACAGAUAAUUAUAGGCAAGGAAGGACAUCAAAAAACUUCAUCGAGUAUACGAUGUAAUAAGCUCGCAUCUUUACAAGAGUCAGAGGGUCUUCUGUAAGUAUUACAAUGAAAGACUAGCUAAGGAAAUAAGGAAGAAGGAUGAAACCUAAGCACAGUGACCUAAAAAGGAAAUGGUCUUGUAACAUCAGUCUCACAACAACAUUGUAUGCACUCCAUAAGAAAGUGGCACCUACCGUGGUGUCACGCCUUGAGCCUGGGGGCGAGAUGGCACCCAGUGCCUCACUUAUCCUUGCAUACCACUUUCGACUAAGAGACUCUGAACAUGUAAUAUCAUACUUUGGCCAUGGGCCACAUUGCAAGAUAAUGUGCGAUGCAAAACAUAAAACUGAAUAGAGACUAAUGUUGACCAAAUCGUCAACAUAAAGCUGGGCCAGCAAGGCCGUCAUAAUUACUACAACUGACUAGCCAAAGAAAAUAUACGUACAAUGCCUACAAGCCCAACAUAAUUCACUAACUGACAGGAUAUAUCUACAAGUCUCUACUGAUAGAUGUACUAUGAUCGGAACAGGGGCCCGACCAACCCAUAACCUAUCUACAUAUAUACACAAGAUACAAACCAUACUUCUAGACCCGGCAACUCCGAAAGAAGGGGAGCUUACCGAUAAAGCUGAACUCGAGCAACACCUACAGAUGAGGUCUACCCGUCUAUCUGUCUCAACCUACAUGCAUGAAAUGCAGCGCCCUCAGAAAGGGAUGUUAGUACGAAAUAAUGUACCGAGUAUGUAAGGCAAUAUACUGAAGUUGAAACUGAACUGAUAAUAUAAUAACUGAAACAACUGGGAGUCAAGAAAAUUUGAAGAUAUGCUCAUCUGCUGAUACUGACUCAACUCUCUCAAUAUGAUGAGUAAAAUAGUUGUCCGGCCCUAUAAGGCUCGGUAUAUAUAUAUAUAUAUAUAACUGCUCUGUCGUAGUAGGCUCGCUUAAAAGUGGUCGGCCAUACUAGGCUCUGUAUCUCGACCAACUGGGCUUGCUCAUAAGCGCUCGGCCAUAGUAGGCUCGGUAUAUAACUUAUCAUCUGAUCAGAGGUUGUCCAAUAGAGGUCUGCCCAUCGAUUAUAGCUCGAUAGUAAUGAAAAUACUUUUAAUCCUGUAUAUAUGUAAACUCUCUGCUCUUUUGACCGGAAUAAGGAAAUACCCAACUGAAUAUGCAGUCCCGAUAAGAAGAAUAUAGUAACUUACAAAACUAGAAAAAUAUAUGUAAUUUGCGAGACUAGCAAAAUAUACAUAAAUUCCGGGAUAUGAAUUUUUCUCUAUGACUCAUUAUCAAACUUGUGUAAUGACACGAUCAUGGUAAAAUGAAGGAAAAGCUUAGCCUUAACAUACCUGUUCCCGGAAUUAUUUGAACGAAUCUGCUUCUGCGAAAUAUGGACGAAACUCACACUUGAAAUUUCGGACAACUUACUCUGCCUUUAACGUUUUUUGAAUGAAGUAUGGGAUAAGGAAUGAAUUUGUGUGACAUGCUCUUGAUCCUUCACGUUUUGGUCUUUUGACAGAAUGUAUAAGUUGUUCUUGGUCUUCAAAAUGAAAUGUUUAUCUCUUUUGAUUGAUAAAUCUUACAACAAAGUCUUGAUAAGACUUUGAAAUUUAACUUUUGACACAUGUAAAGCAUAAAUCAAUGACUCACCUCAUACAAAAAGGGGGGCUGCCAGGUUCCUUCUUAAGGGGUGAUUUUGUUAAUUUAUCCAUUUAUUAGUUAACCGAGUAAUGUUUCGUUACCCAAUAAUUAUUUUAUUACCCUCAUAAUUUAAAAAUUAUUACAAAUUACUUAAAAUUCUAUUUAUUUUCAAAAUACUUAAUAUAUACUUUAUAAAUUACACUACUGUGGUCAUAUGGUACCUUGUAUGGUACUAGUUUAUAAUUAUCGGGUAUUAUUACUCGACCCGUAUUUUAUUCCAAAUUGUUCAUUUUCAACGAAACUCGUUUUCGCCGUGUAACCCUUUAUCCUUCAUAAUACUUACUUAUCGCUUAUUAUAAAUAGCGUAAGUACGUUAACGUCAAGAUGAUCUCAUCCCCGCGUCUACGUUGGUUAACCAAAAAUGAAAUUAUAACGUACGAAAACGCGAGAUGUAACACGUGGAUAAUGAACGGGAAGUAAAAUAAAAAGAAAUACUCGAGAUCAUAUGAGUUGCACAAAAAUUCCGGCAUGCGUAGGAACUAAGACAAGCUAAGUAGGCACGCAACAAGGAGGCAGAAAGACCAGGAAAAGUAAUAGUUUACGUUUAAAGGAAGCUAAGAUGGAAUGAAAGAUAUUAUUCGAUCAAUGAUCCAAAGUUGGUUACGUUAUGAACGCACUUAAGGGUUCGGAGUUUUAUACAUGCAACAUAUACAGCCAUAGAAGAUUCUGGUAUACAUUAAAAGAAAGAAUUGAGCCCAGGUCAUAAACGAAUGAUUAAAUUGUUAAAGGAUUGUAUCAUGCAUAUUCCUCAGCGCCCAUAAAUGACUAAACAAAAUACUAUGAACCCCUGAGCGGGAGAUAAUUUAAGCCGACAUAAAGGCCAAUCAGAAGAAGGAGGAAACUAAAGAGUUACAUCAACGAAGUAAAUUAGGAAUUCGGUUAUUGGACCCAGAAAUUAUAGAAAUCGUGAUUGAGAAUAUUGCAGAAUUACUCUUAAUAUAAAAGGUACAAGGGAGAUAUUACAACAACCAUAUUCUAUAACGGCUCUACGAAAAAGCCAGUUAGAAGAAGUACUAGCCUCAUAAGAAGUCAGUAUGAAGCUCCCACCGAAUUGUGUAUGCCCAGAGGUGCAAGUAUUAUAAUAGAGCUUCAAGUUGUGAACGUGAAUUAUACCUAUGUAUAAAGGAGGUCAUGAAAGAGAUAGAAGAUACGAUGCAAGAUUUUAAGGUAAGAAAGGUAAAGGGGAACAACAUACAAGAUACUUAAAUGCAGAAGGUCGUGAAAUGUCCAUAUUGCGGAUAAAAGGCUAGAAAUGCGGGGAAUCAGUAUCCAGAAAUGAUAGCAGCGUCAUCACUGGAAUACUUCCCAACCUAUGAUUUCUAAGUACCGAAAGAUCUAAUUAGAGAGUAAAAGAAGAGUUAGAGACGAUGCGAUGUCUCGCUUGAUGUUCUAGAAAAUGCAUGGGAAUUGAUCGCAAGCUAAAAUAUGAUAAAACGACAAGGUUUUUAGAAAGACAAGAGUAAUUGAUCGCUUGAUGUUCUUUUUUUGUAUUUUUUGGAAAAUGAUGGAAAGUGCAAAAUCUUUAUGGAUUUUUCAUAUUCAAUUUUUAUUUUUGGUCUUUUCUUGAAAAAGUGUGAAAGAAAAUUAUAAUUGGGCCCUACUUUCUUUUUUUUCAUACUUCACCUUCUUUUCUUUAUCGUUUACCCUCAACCAUCAUUGGUCCACCAAAUGACCCUUUUGCCCUUUAAGAUUGCAACAUGUAGCACAUAGGAUGCAUCAGGAUGGUCUUGUAUUUUGGAUACACCUGUCCUAGACGGACCCAACCCCUGUGUUAAGUCCCUUAAGUCAAAUGCACGUGAUGCAAAUAAACGUUCCUACUAGGGAUCCGGUAUGAGAUAAUAUUAUUCUAAGUUUAAACCUGGGGUUGUGUUCUUGACCUGGCUUACCCGAGCGGACAACUCGAGCUAAAAUGGGGGCAACGUACCGAGAGCACGAAAGUCUACCCGGCCUUGUUGCUGGCCCAGUCUCGUUCUAUUUGGUAUAACUUCUAACAAAAAAAAUGGGUCACGCGAACGUGUGCACCGUUUUUUUUUUGAAGACUCAGAAGGGAGGCGUAAGAAGACAGUAUAAUACAAUUCAAAUAAUAUCAAAGUGGUAAAUAAGCGGCAAUUAGCACAUUAGGUUCACAAAUACAGUAAUAUCAACAAUAAAUAAAGCCAAGUAAAAAUCAUAUUAACAAGCUCGAAUUCUAAACCCUGAACCAGAAGUUCUGGGUUCUUAUCCCCAGCAGAGUCUCCAGAGCUGCCACACCUCCUUUUUUUUUACCCCCAAGGGGAUAUAAGUGAGUUUUUUCCAAUUUAAGUGACAAUCGAAAUGGGAUUAUCUAUAUUAAAUUCAGAGUCGCCAUUUGGGAUAAUUUAUGGUAUCCCAAGUCACUGGUUUAAAAUUCCGAAUCGAGGAAGUUGACUCUUUUUACGAUCUUAGAACACAGAAAUCUGGGUAAGGAAUUCUGUUAACCCAAGAGAAGGUGUUAGGCAUUCCCGGGUUCCAUGGUUUUAGCACGGUCGCUUUGAUCAUACUUGGCUUACUAAAUUGUUUAACUACUCAUUAUAGAACCUAUGUGUUUUCACCUCUUUUAAUUAAGAAAUUAUCUUAAAACAGGUCACGCGCACGUGUACCCAUAUGUUUUGCGCGUAAAAAAUCAUGUCACGCAUACAUGUCCACGAUCAAUCACGCUUUAUUAUUAUUAAGAAAUUUUGGUCGAAGUUGCGAGAAUGCAUGCCCUGAUUUUGUUUUUAGGAUCGCAAUUAUGUCACGCGAACGUGUACAUAAUCAAUAACAUUUUAUUACUAUUAAGGUUGUUUCGCCCAAAGUUGCGCGAGCGCAUACUUCGGUCUUAAUUUUGGAACCCAUAAUUAUGCCACUCAGAUGUUCAAAAAUACAUACUAAUAGGCACUAGCGAAUCUAUAUAGUCAAAAAUACAACUAAAAGUAAAAUGAAAUACAUCAUAUUUCAACUAAUCAAACCACUUAUUAUCAAUUGUAAAUGUCGAGGUCAUGAGCUACUGAUAUCUUACUAUAUCAUUGUCAUGCUACUUUAAUUUUGCGGUGUUAGCUUGUCACCUUUCUUCUCCGAAUAAUAAAUUCUUAAACUACAAGUAAGAGAAAAAUGGACCUCCCACAGCACAUUCAAACCAGAUUUCACUCCUAAGCCACUUUAACAUUUCCCACAGUCUUCACGUCGAAGAACGCUAGCUUGUUGGUUUUAAUCAUGAAUGAUGUCGGGUUAUAAACAACAACAAAAACUCAGUAGGCAUAAGAAAGCGACUAAAAUUGCACACAAUUGCUAGCUAGAUCUUUCCUUCUCACUCGACGCAUGAAAUAUGGACUAAGCAGACUUAAACCAACAGCGAUUUGACUAGUGUACUCAAAGAACUCUAUCAGUUCGUGACAAUUCCCAAACUAAGAAUGAAUCACCACAUAAAUAUAUAAGCAGUGCACGAGUAAUAUAAUCUCAGCAACAUUAUACAUCAAGCUAUGUGCGAAAUAAAGAUCUAAAGUAGAAAAUGAACUUUGAGUGAAGCAAUAUCAGAGUUGGAAUAUACAGAAGACCUUUAGGGAUUCGAAUAGCAGCUACUACAAUAUGAUAGAUCCACAAUGAAAAACCUCACCGGAACCACGGACAGAACUUCAUCAUGAACUCAAACCACUCAAACAAAUUCCAUUUUGGAGAAACAAAAAUCCAAAACUAGGGAGAUAAAAUAGAAUUUUUAAAUCGUACUCGUACUCGAGGCGUAAAAAUGGGGACCGGUCAGAUCUACAAUUGUUCCGGCGAACAAACAAGACCACGUCUAAAAACAGCUUUAAAGCUAAGCUGAAGAUAGCAGCAACAGUAACCAACUAAACAGUGAAAUGAAGGUGAAGCUCGACUUAAACUGAGCUUUUCAAUUAAUGAGAGCCUCCAACGUUACACAUUCGGUUUGGAUGCAAAAUUCCUAUGGCCUACGACGAUGACUAGAACCUGAACUGCGUACUCCGGUGAACUUCGGACUCUGACUUUGAAAGGACUCAAAUCCAAACCACAAAACUUAUCGGAGUUAGUGACGCUACUACCACGACGAUGAUGACACUAUUAGAUCUAAACCCGCCUGACAUAGAAGUGAAGCACACGAGAAUAGUGGUGAUGAAACAGUCCCCGGAGUAGUUUUCUGGUCAGAUCGAAACCAAAAUUUCUGGCCAGACCAUGAUUGAAAUGGCAGUAGAGGUAAAGAGAUCAGGAGUUCAGGGUUGGGGUUGUCUUUGUGUUGAACGGCUGGUUCUUCAAGAAAGGGGGUGAGAUGAAGAAGAAGAUAUUCGGAGGGGGGGUCGUUUGGUGUUCUGCGGCGGAUGUUUAUUUUCCUUUAUGUCUAGGUCUUUAAGCUAGCUCCCCUCUCUAGGUUAGAAUGUUAUCUAUAUCUAGAAUUAAUUAGGUUUUUAGGGUGUUGGGUUUAAUGGGUUUUUGGGCUUUAAAAUUGAAAUUGGGUUGGGUCCAUGUUUUAUUGGUUCUUAAUUUUGGGCUAAGAAGACUAAAAUAUAAAAAUAUAAAAUUUACUCUUAAUUAAUUAGAACACACUACUAGAAUAAAACUAGAUAUUAAAAGCAAAACUAAUUUUUUUCAAGAUUAUAUAAAAAUAAAAAUAAAGUACUAUUUUUGUAUUAUUUUUUUAAUUAAAUCUAUGAAAGAUAAACAAACUAAAAUAUUUUUUUAAUUUUUAUUUUUGUGACGAAAUAAAGUAAAAGGGUCAAAAUUAGUUGAAAUAGAGAUAUUAGGCCUAAACUAAAUAUUUACAUGCUAAAAUAUAAAAAAUCUUGGGGAGGGUCAAAAAUCACAUGUCUACAGCUGCCCACCUUUGACUGGGUACGCGAAGAGUUUUUAGACAAAGAACGACUAGACAGGUUUUUUGACCCGACCCUUAUUUAGGGAGUCAAAAAACUAAGAGGAAGGAGAAUGUGAAUGAGCCCUGGUAUCUUAGCUGCCUACAUAUCCUUGGCUAUAAAGGAAUCAAGUCACGUGUAGUUCAGAAUUAGAAAGAAUGAUGGAGUAUACCAAGAGGGAGAGCCGGUCGAGGUGUCGUUCCAUCCAGGUUCUGGUAUGUGGUCCUGUUAUUACAUCAAAAUCAAAAAAUGAAAAAGACUAACUACGUCUGUCAACUAUGAGUUACAAGAUUUCUAUCUAUAAGUCUUCUGAAGCUUGAUCUUGAGUCUUGAAUGGUUCUUCAUACAGACUUUAGAUUUGAACCUCGAUGCUUGCUAGCUGCAGGUGCUAGUUCAUUCUUCUUCGGAUCAAAACGGGACAUGCAAUGCUCGUGAUUUAAGCCAUCAUGUCUUGAGCAGUUCACAUCUUUCUAUACUUUUGCAUUUUGGAUUCACUUUUUUUUAUUCUGGAUUGUGACUAACUUCUGUUGAACAUCUCGGACUGUUGACUCACAUUCUUGCCGCGAACUUCUCCUAUUCUAACUUGAAUUGAAUUCUGAACUAUAUUCCCAUGUUCUCCAGGUGGGCGCCUGAUCGCCAAAAAUUGAACUUUAUUCCCUUGUUCUCUAGGUGGGUGCCUGAUUGCCAAAACUUGAACUGUAUUCCCUUGUUCUCCAGGUGGGCGCCUGAUUUCUAAAAACUUGAACUGUAAUUUCCUUGUUNNNNNNNNNNNNNNNNNNNNNNNNNNNNNNNNNNNNNNNNNNNNNNNNNNNNNNNNNNNNNNNNNNNNNNNNNNNNNNNNNNNNNNNNNNNNNNNNNNNNNNNNNNNNNNNNNNNNNNNNNNNNNNNNNNNNNNNNNNNNNNNNNNNNNNNNNNNNNNNNNNNNNNNNNNNNNNNNNNNNNNNNNNNNNNNNNNNNNNNNNNNNNNNNNNNNNNNNNNNNNNNNNNNNNNNNNNNNNNNNNNNNNNNNNNNNNNNNNNNNNNNNNNNNNNNNNNNNNNNNNNNNNNNNNNNNNNNNNNNNNNNNNNNNNNNNNNNNNNNNNNNNNNNNNNNNNNNNNNNNNNNNNNNNNNNNNNNNNNNNNNNNNNNNNNNNNNNNNNNNNNNNNNNNNNNNNNNNNNNNNNNNNNNNNNNNNNNNNNNNNNNNNNNNNNNNNNNNNNNNNNNNNNNNNNNNNNNNNNNNNNNNNNNNNNNNNNNNNNNNNNNNNNNNNNNNNNNNNNNNNNNNNNNNNNNNNNNNNNNNNNNNNNNNNNNNNNNNNNNNNNNNNNNNNNNNNNNNNNNNNNNNNNNNNNNNNNNNNNNNNNNNNNNNNNNNNNNNNNNNNNNNNNNNNNNNNNNNNCUUGUGAGUUUAAACAUGGUGGUUGGUUUGUGGCCUUGACUUUGAGGGCGAUUGCUCAUUCACUUCCCAUGAUAACUUUGAUUUCAACUUGAAAGGCCUUGCUUGUUUAUUGACUAACCACUUUCUCUGUCACCCUUAUCCCAGAAGAUUCCCUUGAUUCGUUCAAACCCAAACCCUCUAUCUAUUGCAUUGUGCACAUAAAUUUACAUAUACCGAACCUUUAUAUUUCACAUGAAUCCCAAAACCCAUUGAUUGUUACCAACUCAGUGCGCUAGCUGUUCUUUCCUGACGUAUGCCACUAGCCUUGGCUUUGAGGUCUGUUGCUCCUUUACUUGCCAUGAUAACUUUGAUUUCCACUUGGAAGACCUUUCUUGUUAUUGGUUAACCACUUUUUCUGUCAACCUUAUCACAGAAAAUACCUUUGAUCCGUUCAAACCCAACACCCUCUAUCUGUUGCAUUACUCAUGAAUUGACAUAUAUCGAACCUUUGUAUUUCACAUAAAUCCUCAAAGCACAUUGAUUGUUACCAACGCAGUGCGCAUGUUGUUCUUUCCUGACUUAUGCCGCUUUGAUGUGCUAGCCAGAUCCCGUUUUACGCAAUUAGAAAGCUGGUGGCAAGUUUUGAAGUCAUUUCUCACUUAUUCUGACCAAACAGACUCAGGAAGAGGAAGUAAACAAGACAAAAGGAAUAGAGUAAAGGACAAUGCAAAGAGAUGAUUCCUAACGAGAAAACUACAAAGUAGAAACUUAUCAGAUGUGGAUACCAACUCUAAUGACCAUGACAUGCACCUUUGGAUUAAGUGGCCUAAUCUGUCAAACAAGUCGGAUGUUCAACUCUUGUUAUACCCCUGAACCGUGAAACUGGGCUUCAAUGCUCCGAUUAUCCAAUCUGAUUCAUGAUCCUCAUUCGACUUGUAGUGCCCAAAGGGUUUUCACCAUCAAGCCUCUCUCAUUUUGUUCUUUCUCCCAACUCACCAUUGCCUUAUGGUGCCUGUGAAGGUUUUCACCAAUAAGACUCUCUCAUUUUGUUCUUUUCUUCUUAUUUCCUCUGAUUCUGCAGAUGACAAGGCAUUAACCAUGGUAAAAACAUUAUAUACUCUUGGCAUGUCUAAACUCAGAACUCUCAAAGAUUAUCUGGGAGGUCUUUUUUUGGACUGUAAUGUGGCUUUUGGACAUGGUUAGAAAGAAAGGAUAUCAUAAAAGCUCAAAAUAACUAAGACAAUGGGGUUAAUUUAUUUAUAACUUUUGGAAUCCAUUCUAAAAACUUUGCCCCUAUUUCUAAAACAAUGGAAUUUGAUUCUCUUUUUUCUGUUUUUCUUUUUGAUGGAGUUACUAAGAAAGACCGCCCCACUUUCGACUUCAUGAAAUUAUGAAAUAUUUUAUUUGGUAUGACCAAACCGUAAGGCUGCCUACGUAUCUUGCGGUGACAAGAAUCAGGUCAAACGUAGAUCACAAGACCACUUUUUGUGACUAUUUUCCUUUUUUUCUUUUUUUUUUCUCUUUUUCCUUCUUUUUUUUCCUUUUUUUCUCUUUUUCUUUAUCUCUAUUUUUCUUCUUCUUUUUUUUUGAAUUUUCCUUUUGGAAUGAACUUUCUAAAAUAAACCUAUGGGGACAUGAACUUUUUUUUCGUAUGACUCUAACUUGAUUCCAAAAGAGGGGAGGUUAAAGAAAUCAGUACGGGUUCAAAAGGGGACCGAAGGGUAUAAGUAUUUGGAUAGUUGAAAGAGGGCCUCCCAAUCUUUAAGAACACCAAGUAUAACACAUACAACUUGAAAUGAAAAAGGAAGAGCACACACAAUAUUUCUUUUAAAAUUUUGACAUUGAUAUCACUGAUAUGCUUUCCACUUUUCUUUUUUUAGUGCCUUGUCAAGUAUAUAACUCUCAUUGAGUGAUUUCUUCUUCACGAUGGAUACCCUCCGUCUGUUCGGAGAAAACUUUCUUGAUUUUAUUUUGUAACUUGAGAUGCAAUUGAACUCAAAGUUAUUUGCUUCAAAUUGUCCGGGAUGCACUUUCCUUUAACGAAUUAUUGUCAUCCUAUUAACUUCCCAAAUUAUCUACCCCAGUUUCACAUGGUUCGGGCUUCAAGUGAUCUCAAAAUUCCCAAAUCUGUACUUAUUUCCCUCAAGUGUCCCUAUUAUCCUCAAAAUUGUUUCAUUGAUUCAUGAUUAAACUAACUUUUAAGACCAUGCCUAGAAUUAUGUGUGCAUGUCAUGUCCUAGAGCCAGCAUGAAAAGAACUAUAAAAGAGAAGAGAACUUAACAAAAAAUGACUAGAAAUAACAGAAAAAAGAAAAUUGCAUUGGAUAGGCAGUGAAAGGGUUUGAACAACAAAACAAGCAAAAUAAACUGGGGUUACAAUCCUGGAAUAAACCUAGACAACACUAAACGAGUUACUACAACUGAACGAACUAGGAAAAAUAAAAGGAUAGAAGGGUUUGAGUCACAAGACAAUAUCUGGAUUAUAACCCUGAAAUAACCCGGUCAAUAGAAAUUACCAUAAAAUGAACCACCAAGACUCCUCCCUAGCUAGCCAAGAAAGGAGCAUCUUUCCAAUCACCAAGCUCAACAUCUUAGCCACUGAGUUCUGCAUCAACAGUACUAGGACCUUCACAAGUCUCCAUCACAUUGACCUUAGCAAAUUGCUUUUGGGUCCUUUUUGCCGGCUCGUUCUUAAGAUCAACUUCUGGAACCGAGGGUGAUAGCGGUGAAAACUUUGCGGCAAAUGGCCCUUCGAGGAUCUUAGAAGAAUUCUCAUAUUCCUUUUCAACACAAAUCAUACCCACCAUCUGCGUCUCAAUAUGAAUAGGUGAUGGACUUUGGCUAGUGUCUACUGCAUCUGGAUUUUGCACGACAAUGUCACCUGCAUUAAUAAGCUUCUGAACUGCUCUUUUCAGAUGCCAACACUUUUAUGUGAUGUGACCCGGGGCAUUAGAGCAAUAUGCGCACCUUUGAGAAUAAUCAAAAUUCUUUGGACGAGGAUUCGACAUUUUUAUCUGAAUCGGCUUCAACAUAUCCAAUUGCCUCAACUUUUGGAACAAACUGGCAUAUGAUUCUCCAAUAGGAGUGAAAGUCUUUUCUUUUUCCUGUUGCCUUUUCAUAUUGUACUCUAGCCUCGGUCGGAACCUUUUGUGGGUAGGUGGUUGAUAUGCUUGAGGAGGCGGGUAGGAUAUUUGCAGAAAUGGUGCAGGCCAUCGUGGGUCCUGUGGAUGUGGAGCAUAUAGUGGUGCAUUAUGGAUGGAGUACUGGGAAAGUGAGGUAUGACUGUGGGGAUUUUGUGGAGAGAAGUAGCAUUGGGGAGGAUUAUCUGGAUCACAGGGAUAUCCAUGGGGUCGAUACUGAGGCUAAAAGCGUUAAGCAGGAAUGCCUACUGGAUCCCGUCAUUGGCGGGGUUCAACAAUAUCUUUUCUAUUUCUCUUUGUUCCACCCAGACUUACUGAGAUGUUCUGAAUGUGUUCUGUAGUAUCUUUCAAUGCAGAAUAACUCAUGAUUUUGUCUGAUUUGAUUCCUUUCUCUACCAUCUCCCCCAUUUUUACCAUAUCAUUGAAAGGUUUACCCAAGGCCGUGAUCAAAUGACUGAAGUAGGUGGGCCCAUGGGCUUGUAGGAAAAGCUCAACCAUUUCUUCUUCACCAAUGGGGGGGCUGAAUCGAGCAGCUUGUUCCCUCCAUCUGAGCCCAAACUCCCUAAACAUUUUCUCGGGUUUCUUUUCCAUCUUAGACAGGGAGGAGCGGUCUGUGAUAAUGUCUAGAUUGUACUGAAAGUGUCAAACAAAAUCUUGAGCCAUGUCAUCUCAUACAUUCCACUUAUUGACAUCUUGAUGAGUAUACCAUUCUAAGGCUGCCCCAGUCAAGCUCUCACUGAAAUACGCCAUCAACAAAUCAUCUUUCCCGCUAACACUUCUUAUUUCACUGCAGUAACCCCUCAGAUGGGCUACUGGAUCUCCACGCCCAUCAUACCAGUUAAACUUUGGUAUUUUAAACCCCGCGGGCAGAUGAACAUCAGGGAACAUACAUAAGUCAUCGUAAAAUAUGUUAAUUUGAUUUCCCAUCCCUUGCAUGCUCCUUAAGGACUGUUCUAUACCUUUCAGCUUCCUAGAUAUCUCAUCUCACCCUUCUUUUCCUGUGAACUUUUCAUUUUCAACAUGAGGCUCAUUCCGAAAGCUAUGAUUAUAUGAGUCAGGGACCUUGUGGGCAACCUCUGAGGGGUAGUAUUGGGCCUCAAGGGGGUUGAAUUGGUGUUUAUUGUUGGACUUGAGGAGAGGUUGUUGAGAAGUUGUGAUCGUGGAGGUAGUGGAUAGGACAUAGGUAGUUGAAGGACGAGUGAUGGAGCUACUAGGGUGGUUGGGAAAGUUGUGAUAAGCGGGAGAAUCUGGAGAGUAAGGGAAAUCAUCUGGCACUAUGACCGGAGUUUGCGUAAGGGUAGCAUCUAGGAAGGUAGGUAGUGGAGGGGGUGGUGCCUUCCCAAUCAUCCCAGCCCGAUACAUGUCUGCCAUGUGUUGUCUUAAUAUCCUUACCUCUUCAACCAACCCAUUGUCAUGUUCAACCAAUUGCUUUUGGGCACCCAUAUCAACCAACUCAGUUCUGUUGUCAUCUACCAUUGCUUUUCAACUUUAUAUUGUAGAGAAAAGUUACCACUUUAAGAACCA
rnacentral:lncRNA from 1 species